rnacentral:rRNA from 1 species
UACGUAGGGUGCAAGCGUUGUCCGGAAUUAUUGGGCGUAAAGAGCUCGUAGGCGGUCUGUCGCGUCUGCUGUGAAAACUCGGGGCUUAACCCCGGGCCUGCAGUGGGUACGGGCAGACUAGAGUGCGGUAGGGGAGAUCGGAAUUCCUGGUGUAGCGGUGAAAUGCGCAGAUAUCAGGAGGAACACCGGUGGCGAAGGCGGAUCUCUGGGCCAUUACUGACGCUGAGGAGCGAAAGCGUGGGGAGCGAACAGG